GGAUUCCCCUAGUAACGGCGAGUGAAGAGGGAAGAGCCCAAGAUUGAAAGCUGGCGUCUUCGACGUCCGCAUUGUAAUCUCAAGAAGUGUUUUCCGCUUCGGACCAAGCCUAAGUCUCCUGGAAAGGAGCAUCAUAGAGGGUGAUAAUCCCGUACAUGGCUUGGAGCGCCCGAAGCUUUGUGAUACGCUUUCUAAGAGUCGAGUUGUUUGGGAAUGCAGCUCAAAAUGGGUGGUAAAUGCCAUCUAAGGCUAAAUAUUGGGGAGAGACCGAUAGCGAACAAGUACAGUGAUGGAAAGAUGAAAAGAACUUUGAAAAGAGAGUUAAACAGUACGUGAAAUUGCCAAAAGGGAAGGGUAGGAGGUCAGAGAUGCUUCCUGGGAUUCAGCCUUGCUUCUGCUUGGUGUUUUUCCCAGAUAGCAGGCCAACGUCGGUUUUGGGCACUGGAGAAGGGUAGGAGGAACGUGGCACCCCUCGGGGUGUGUUAUAGCCUCCUACUGGAUACAGCGACCGAGACCGAGGACAGCAGCGUACUCGCAAGAGCGGGCCUUCGGGCACCUUUACGCUUAGGGCGUUGGCAUAAUGGCCCUCUACCACCCGUCUUGAAACACGGACCAAGGAGUCUAACAUGUAUGCGAGUCUUUGGGUGGCAAACCCAUAGGCGCAAUGAAAGUGAAUUCAGGUGGGAUCCGCAAGGUGCACCAUCGACCGAUCCUCACGUCUUUUAAGUCGUGGAUUUGAGUAAGAGCAUACCUGUUGGGACCCGAAAGAUGGUGAACUAUGCCUGAAUAGGGUGAAGCCAGAGGAAACUCUGGUGGAGGCUCGUAGCGGUUCUGACGUGCAAAUCGAUCGUCAAAUUUGGGUAUAGGGGCGAAAGACUAAUCGAACCA
rnacentral:rRNA from 2 species